UGAGGAAUAUUGGUCAAUGGACGGAAGUCUGAACCAGCCAAGUCGCGUGAAGGAUGAAGGUUCUAUGGAUUGUAAACUUCUUUUGUCCGAGGGUAAAGUGUGUCACGUGUGGCAUAUUGCAAGUAUCGGACGAAUAAGCAUCGGCUAACUCCGUGCCAGCAGCCGCGGUAAUACGGAGGAUGCGAGCGUUAUCCGGAUUUAUUGGGUUUAAAGGGUGCGUAGGCGGGUGAUUAAGUCAGUGGUGAAAUCGUGUGGCUCAACCAUACAAAUGCCGUUGAUACUGGUUACCUUGAGUACAGUUGAGGCAGGCGGAAUGUGAUGUGUAGCGGUGAAAUGCUUAGAUAUGUCACAGAACCCCGAUUGCGAAGGCAGCUUGCCAAGCUGUAACUGACGCUGAGGCACGAAAGCGUGGGUAUCAAACAGG
rnacentral:rRNA from 1 species